GGCCUGAGGGAAUCUUCACUGACAGCGUAGACAUCCCAGUCCUUCACAGAAACGUUAGCAAUGGAGUCAUCAUGCCAUCUUCCCUCAAGACCUCAUGUCAACUAGUUCCUAAACUAGGGAUCUCAACUUCACUCCAUAGCUCCUUCUCAAACGCCUUCUAUAGCUCCCUUACUAUCUAGAAUUCAACAGGAAUGGGCCACUUGUCAGGAGAAGCCCAAGUUGCCUGCCCGGGAGGUGAGUCAGCUGCUGACAGUUGUGUCUGUGCUCACUCACCAUGAAGAAUAGGAUGGCUCAAAACAUAAGGAUAUCAGUCAAGAACUAACUACAACCCCACAUUGCUCCUUUGUUAGGUCACAAAGGCAAGGAGGUAUGUCACCUAUGCAUCUAUGGGUGGUGAGGUGGGGUGCUUCUGAAAGGAAUGUGCAAGGUGGGACAUACGAACACCAACAUGGUGGAUGGGUGGCAGCACAUCAACCAUUUUGUUGCAUCCUAGGGUUACAGAAUUAUGGUCUACACACAGCACAGGUCUACACUGAGCUUUUGUUUCUCUUGCCUGGAAGUUUGAAACCCUCUUCUCAUCCCACUUCAAAUUGGGACAAUUUAGAAGCAAAGUGCAGGGCCUCAGUUCAUCGGAUGAUGCUCCCCACCUUCAGUGUGGCUGUCUCUAUUCUGCGAAGCCCCUCUGGAAGUUCCUCCACAGACAUAUCCAGAUGUUUAUAAUCCAGAUGUUCAUACCUUCAGCAAUCCUGAAGGCUGUCAGGUUGACCAUCAAGAUUCAUCAUCCCAUAAGGUGAACCAGGGACCCCUGCAUCUGCAUCAACAGAACUACAUUCCAAGGGGACUCCAUUCAAGAGAGGAGCUCCAUGUUUACAGUUGUGAUGGGUAUCAGGCUUUCCCAAAAUGUGAAGGCGAGUCACUGCUGGAUUAGAGGUCUACCCUUAAUGUGGGCACACAUCCCACCUGAGCCAGUGCUGUCUGCUUGCAAACCUAUGAAUUGGCUCUGAGGUUCUAAGUGACUCACUGAGGAAAUACUUGGGCACGCUGUGCAAGAUGAGGGCAGUAUUUUAACAACAGGCCAUCGUGUAAGGCAUGGAGAAGAGUCACAAAUGAAAGGAAAAUAAAUUAAAGUCCAGAAACCAGAAGAAGGCUUGGAGCAAAAGGCCAACACCAUACCCUGGAAACGGAAUGCCAGCACUUUGGAAACAAAACAUCUGGGCUAGAAUCAUCAAUGAGCUUGUGAUGAGACUUAAGAAAGAGCCACACCAGUUUGUCUUCUGUCCUUAUGUGCUUGCCUUACGCCAAAUGGUUGAAUGUAAAGUACCCUAAUGGUUGUUAAGCGUUUUAUAAAUUAAGGGCUCUGAAAAUAUAAGCCGUGACCAUCCUUACUGGAGAAGAGACCACCAUGAUACUGAAAAUUAUGAGGUCUAUCAGCCAAAGAGCUUGACCAGAAGGAAGCUAUGAAACUUUGAACAAAAUUAAAACAAAACAAAACAAAA